rnacentral:rRNA from 1 species
GAUGAACGCUAGCGGCAGGCCUAAUACAUGCAAGUCGAGGGGCAGCACGGUAGCAAUAUUGGUGGCGACCGGCAAACGGGUGCGGAACACGUACGCAACCUUCCUUCAAGUGGGGGAUAGCCCAUAGAAAUGUGGAUUAAUACCUCGUAAUAUCGUAUUGUGGCAUCACAGCACGAUUAUAGAAUUUCGCUUGAAGAUGG